AGCGCAUACGGUGGAUGCCUUGGCAGUCAGAGGCGAUGAAAGACGUGGUAGCCUGCGAAAAGCUUCGGGGAGUCGGCAAACAGACUUUGAUCCGGAGAUCUCUGAAUGGGGGAACCCACCUAGGAUAACCUAGGUAUCUUGUACUGAAUCCAUAGGUGCAAGAGGCGAACCAGGGGAACUGAAACAUCUAAGUACCCUGAGGAAAAGAAAUCAACCGAGAUUCCCUUAGUAGUGGCGAGCGAACGGGGAUUAGCCCUUAAGCUUCAUUGAUUUUAGCGGAACGCUCUGGAAAGUGCGGCCAUAGUGGGUGAUAGCCCCGUACGCGAAAGGAUCUUUGAAGUGAAAUCGAGUAGGACGGAGCACGAGAAACUUUGUCUGAACAUGGGGGGACCAUCCUCCAAGGCUAAAUACUACUGACUGACCGAUAGUGAACCAGUACCGUGAGGGAAAGGCGAAAAGAACCCCGGAGAGGGGAGUGAAAUAGAACCUGAAACCGUAUGCGUACAAGCAGUGGGAGCCUACUUGUUAGGUGACUGCGUACCUUUUGUAUAAUGGGUCAGCGACUUAUAUUCAGUGGCAAGCUUAACCGUAUAGGGUAGGCGUAGCGAAAGCGAGUCUUAAUAGGGCGUUUAGUCGCUGGGUAUAGACCCGAAACCGGGCGAUCUAUCCAUGAGCAGGUUGAAGGUUAGGUAACACUGACUGGAGGACCGAACCCACUCCCGUUGAAAAGGUAGGGGAUGACUUGUGGAUCGGAGUGAAAGGCUAAUCAAGCUCGGAGAUAGCUGGUUCUCCUCGAAAGCUAUUUAGGUAGCGCCUCAUGUAUCACUCUGGGGGGUAGAGCACUGUUUCGGCUAGGGGGUCAUCCCGACUUACCAAACCGAUGCAAACUCCGAAUACCCAGAAGUGCCGAGCAUGGGAGACACACGGCGGGUGCUAACGUCCGUCGUGAAAAGGGAAACAACCCAGACCGCCAGCUAAGGUCCCAAAGUUGUGGUUAAGUGGUAAACGAUGUGGGAAGGCUUAGACAGCUAGGAGGUUGGCUUAGAAGCAGCCAUCCUUUAAAGAAAGCGUAAUAGCUCACUAGUCGAGUCGGCCUGCGCGGAAGAUGUAACGGGGCUCAAACCACACACCGAAGCUGCGGGUGUCACGUAAGUGACGCGGUAGAGGAGCGUUCUGUAAGCCUGUGAAGGUGAGUUGAGAAGCUUGCUGGAGGUAUCAGAAGUGCGAAUGCUGACAUGAGUAACGACAAUGGGUGUGAAAAACACCCACGCCGAAAGACCAAGGGUUCCUGCGCAACGUUAAUCGACGCAGGGUUAGUCGGUUCCUAAGGCGAGGCUGAAAAGCGUAGUCGAUGGGAAACAGGUUAAUAUUCCUGUACUUCUGGUUACUGCGAUGGAGGGACGGAGAAGGCUAGGCCAGCUUGGCGUUGGUUGUCCAAGUUUAAGGUGGUAGGCUGAAAUCUUAGGUAAAUCCGGGGUUUCAAGGCCGAGAGCUGAUGACGAGUCGUCUUUUAGAUGACGAAGUGGUUGAUGCCAUGCUUCCAAGAAAAGCUUCUAAGCUUCAGGUAACCAGGAACCGUACCCCAAACCGACACAGGUGGUCGGGUAGAGAAUACCAAGGCGCUUGAGAGAACUCGGGUGAAGGAACUAGGCAAAAUGGCACCGUAACUUCGGGAGAAGGUGCGCCGGCUAGGGUGAAGGAUUUACUCCGUAAGCUCUGGCUGGUCGAAGAUACCAGGCCGCUGCGACUGUUUAUUAAAAACACAGCACUCUGCAAACACGAAAGUGGACGUAUAGGGUGUGACGCCUGCCCGGUGCCGGAAGGUUAAUUGAUGGGGUUAGCGCAAGCGAAGCUCUUGAUCGAAGCCCCGGUAAACGGCGGCCGUAACUAUAACGGUCCUAAGGUAGCGAAAUUCCUUGUCGGGUAAGUUCCGACCUGCACGAAUGGCGUAACGAUGGCGGCGCUGUCUCCACCCGAGACUCAGUGAAAUUGAAAUCGCUGUGAAGAUGCAGUGUAUCCGCGGCUAGACGGAAAGACCCCGUGAACCUUUACUGUAGCUUUGCACUGGACUUUGAGCCUGCUUGUGUAGGAUAGGUGGGAGGCUUUGAAGCGUGGACGCCAGUUCGCGUGGAGCCAUCCUUGAAAUACCACCCUGGCAUGCUUGAGGUUCUAACUCUGGUCCGUGAUCCGGAUCGAGGACAGUGUAUGGUGGGCAGUUUGACUGGGGCGGUCUCCUCCUAAAGAGUAACGGAGGAGUACGAAGGUGCGCUCAGACCGGUCGGAAAUCGGUCGCAGAGUAUAAAGGCAAAAGCGCGCUUGACUGCGAGACAGACACGUCGAGCAGGUACGAAAGUAGGUCUUAGUGAUCCGGUGGUUCUGUAUGGAAGGGCCAUCGCUCAACGGAUAAAAGGUACUCCGGGG
rnacentral:rRNA from 1 species